AGUGAACGCUGGCGGUAGGCCUAACACAUGCGAGUCGAACGGCAGCACAGUAAGAGCUUGCUCUUACGGGUGGCGAGUGGCGGACGGGUGAGGAAUACAUCGGAAUCUACUUUUUCGUGGGGGAUAACGUAGGGAAACUUACGCUAAUACCGCAUACGACCUACGGGUGAAAGCAGGGGAUCUUCGGACCUUGUGCGAUUGAAUGAGCCGAUGUCGGAUUAGCUAGUUGGCGGGGUAAAGGCCCACCAAGGCGACGAUCCGUAGCUGGUCUGAGAGGAUGAUCAGCCACACUGGAACUGAGACACGGUCCAGACUCCUACGGGAGGCAGCAGUGGGGAAUAUUGGACAAUGGGCGCAAGCCUGAUCCAGCCAUACCGCGUGGGUGAAGAAGGCCUUCGGGUUGUAAAGCCCUUUUGUUGGGAAAGAAAAGCAGCAGGUUAAUACCCCGCUGUUCUGACGGUACCCAAAGAAUAAGCACCGGCUAACUUCGUG
rnacentral:rRNA from 1 species